rnacentral:rRNA from 1 species
GGUGAGUAAUGUCUGGGAAACUGCCUGAUGGAGGGGGAUAACUACUGGAAACGGUAGCUAAUACCGCAUAACGUCGCAAGACCAAAGAGGGGGACCUUCGGGCCUCUUGCCAUCGGAUGUGCCCAGAUGGGAUUAGCUAGUAGGUGGGGUAACGGCUCACCUAGGCGACGAUCCCUAGCUGGUCUGAGAGGAUGACCAGCCACACUGGAACUGAGACACGGUCCAGACUCCUACGGGAGGCAGCAGUGGGGAAUAUUGCACAAUGGGCGCAAGCCUGAUGCAGCCAUGCCGCGUGUAUGAAGAAGGCCUUCGGGUUGUAAAGUACUUUCAGCGGGGAGGAAGGGAGUAAAGU